GCCGAGGUGGCGGAAUAGGCAGACGCGCUAGGUUCAGGACCUAGUGACCAUUACGGUCGUGUGGGUUCAAGUCCCUCCCUCGGUACCA
rnacentral:tRNA from 2 species